ensembl:rRNA 5S_rRNA 5S ribosomal RNA
UCUUUCUGUAAGAGUGGUCAACAUAACGCGCCGAUCUCAUCUGAUCUCGGAAGCUAAACAGGGUCGGGCCUGGUUAGUACUUGGAUGGGGGACCGCCUGGGAAUACCGGGUGCUGUAGGCU